GAGUUUGAUCAUGGCUCAGGACGAACGCUGGCGGCGUGCCUAACACAUGCAAGUCGAACGAGAUAUGUUGCUUCACUAAUAGUUUAAAUAAUCGCAUCAAGCACGAAGUGCUUCACGCGAAAAAAGCUUGUCAAUACAAGUAGUUUGAGAGAUUAGUGAAGUAACAUAUCUAGUGGCGGACGGGUGAGUAACGCAAAAAAAAUCUGCCCUAUACAAAGGAAUAGCCUCGGGAAACUGGGAUUAAAACCGUAUAACACUUAAGUGCCGCAUGGUACAUAAGUCAAAUUGAUUAAGAGGUAUAGGAUGAGUUCGCGUCUGAUUAGCUAGUUGGUGAGGUAAUGGCUCACCAAGGCGACGAUCAGUAGCCGGCCUGAGAGGGUGAACGGCCACACUGGAACUGAGACACGGUCCAGACUCCUACGGGAGGCAGCAGUGGGGAAUAUUGCACAAUGGGCGAAAGCCUGAUGCAGCGACGCCGCGUGAGUGAAGAAGGU
rnacentral:rRNA from 1 species